AUUGAACGCUGGCGGCAGGCCUAACACAUGCAAGUCGAGCGAGCGGCGGACGGGUGAGUAAUGUAUGGGGACUGCCCGAUAGAGGGGGAUAACUACUGGAAACGGUAGCUAAUACCGCAUACUAUCGGAUAACCCAUAUGGGAUUAGCUAGUAGGUGAGGUAAUGGCUCACCUAGGCGACGAUCCCUAGCUGGUCUGAGAGGAUGAUCAGCCACACGGGGACUGAGCAACGGCCAAGAUUCCUACGGAGGCAGCAGUGGGGAAUAUUGCACAAGGGGCGCAAGCCGAAUGAAGCAAUGCCGCGUGUAUGAAGAAGGCCCUAGGGUUGUAAAGUACUUUCAGUGGGGAGGCGUUACCGACAGAAGAAGCACCGGCUAACUCCGUGCCAGCAGCCGCGGUAAUUC
rnacentral:rRNA from 1 species